rnacentral:lncRNA from 1 species
GAGAAAAGAGCAAAGCUUGCAGAGGCUGCAGAGAGAAGACAAAAAGAGGCUGCAUCUCGGGGAAUUUUAGAUGUUCAAUCUGUGCAAGAAAAGAGAAAGAAAAAGGAAAAAAUAGAAAAACAAAUUGCUACAUCCGGGCCCCCACCAGAAGGUGGACUUAGGUGGACAGUUUCAUAAAGCAUAACAUGAGUAGAAGAAUCUACUGCCAAUAACUGUUUAUUAUCUGCAAUCAAGUGGGCUUCAUCAAUUUAAUUUCUUCUCUUUGAGUAAAUGAAGAUUCAGACUUUGUAAUAUUAUUGCCCUUAAGUGCAAUGCUAAAAAAACGUUGAUUUUCAAGCUUAGAGAAUGGCUAGACUUUUCAUUAAAUACUGAUUUUCCUACAUUUGCUCUUCUGCAGUUAGUGGGUGAUUUGCUAUUUUUCUUAGUAGUUAAAAAAUGGAACUAAAUAGUGAAUAUACAUACACUGCAUGUAAACAUUCUGCAUAUACCUCUAAGAUUAAAAUUCGCAGUUGUCUUUUCAUCCUUUAUAAAAUGAUCUAACUACUUAUAUUUGUGCUGCAUCGCGUUACAUCUGUUUUUAUUUCACUAUGAAGAUGUUUGAUUAAACUUAUGGACUUAGUGCCUUUAAACUGAUCAUCAGGGAGAAUCUUG